rnacentral:tRNA from 2 species
GCCCGGGUGGUGGAAUUGGUAGACACGUUGGACUUAAAAUCCAAUGAACAUUGCGUUCGUACGGGUUCAAGUCCCGUCCCGGGUA